CCUACGGGAGGCUGCAGUGGGGAAUAUUGGGCAAUGGGCGCAAGCCUGACCCAGCAACGCCGCGUGAAGGAAGAAGGCUCUCGGGUUGUAAACUUCUUUUCUCAGGGACGAAGAUAGUGACGGUACCUGAGGAAUAAGCCACGGCUAACUACGUGCCAGCAGCCGCGGUAAUACGUAGGUGGCAAGCGUUAUCCGGAUUUACGGGGUGUAAAGGGCGUGUAGGCGGGAAGGAAAUCAGAUGUGAAAACCAAGGGCGCAACCUGUGGCCUGCAUUUGAAACUGUUGUUCUUGAGUACUGGAGAGGCGGGCGGAAUUCGUGGGGUAGCGGUGAAAUGCAUAGAUAUGAGGAAGAACUCCGAUGGCGAAGGCAG
rnacentral:rRNA from 1 species